rnacentral:misc_RNA from 1 species
UCGUAACAAGGUUUCCGUAGGUGAACCUGCGGAAGGAUCAUUACCGAGUGUAGGGUUCCUAGCGAGCCCAACCUCCCACCCGUGUUUACUGUAACCUUAGUUGCUUCGGCGGGCCCGCCUUUAAGGCCGCCGGGGGGCAUCAGCCCCCGGGCCCGCGCCCGCCGGAGACACCACGAACUCUGUCUGAUCUAGUGAAGUCUGAGUUGAUUGUAUCGCAAUCAGUUAAAACUUUCAACAAUGGAUCUCUUGGUUCCGGCAUCGAUGAAGAACGCAGCGAAAUGCGAUAACUAGUGUGAAUUGCAGAAUUCCGUGAAUCAUCGAGUCUUUGAACGCACAUUGCGCCCCCUGGUAUUCCGGGGGGCAUGCCUGUCCGAGCGUCAUUGCUGCCCAUCAAGCACGGCUUGUGUGUUGGGUCGUCGUCCCCUCUUCGGGGGGGACGGGCCCCAAAGGCAGCGGCGGCACCGCGUCCGAUCCUCGAGCGUAUGGGGCUUUGUCACCCGCUCUGUAGGCCCGGCCGGCGCUUGCCGAACGCAAAACAACCAUUCUUUCCAGGUUGACCUCGGAUCAGGUAGGGAUACCCGCUGAACCUAAGC